GCUGCGGGUAGCUUAGUGGAUAAAGCAUCGGACUCCAGAUCGGAAGGCCGUGCCACCAAAUACCCUCCGAGUA